GCCUUUCAGGAGCUUCUCCCCAGGGCUCCGAGCCCCUGCCACUCCUCUCUGGGGACUCCAGACCCCUCAGGGAAAAACCCCUGCCCCCACUGCAGGUCGGGAUGGCCGGGCAUGUGGGCACCAGCUGGCUUUUGACUGCUCCUCCUGCUGUGUGUUUUUCAGCUCCCGGGCGAUCAAUCACUCCACGGAUUCCUCAGCAAGGGGCAGCGCCUCAGCUCCGGGAUUGGCAUCUAGUUGGGGGUGAACCAGGAACUGAAAGUCAAGGUCGGUCUCUCUGUCUGUCUGUCUCUCUGGUUUAUAAACUAAGCCUGGUCUCAUUCCAGUCUAUCAUCCAGAAGCUUCCAUCCUUAAAAUUCUGGGAUGACAACUCUAACCUACCAGGGGAGACAGGCACAAAAACAAAUUCCCUUUAAGGGGAAGCAGUGAUAAAAUGAAAAGAUGAGUGCAUGAGACAACCGACAGUGGGAGUACACUAUGCUUAAGGGACAGAGAUGUGUUCAAGCAGUGCACAGUGGGGAACUAGGGUGGGAAGAUGAGAAAUGAAUCGAGGAAGGCUUCCUGGAGGAGGUGUGCUUUCAGAAGGGCCUUGAAGAUGGGGAAAGUAGAAGUCUGCAAGAUGAGACAGGGGAGGGAGUUUCAGGCGGGAACAUAGGGUUGAAAAAGGGAGAAGCGAGAGUGAGGCACAGUGAGUAGGUUGGCCUGAAAAGAGCCAACCAUGUGAGCUGGGAUGCGGUGAGAUAGGUGUGAAGCUACCUAGCAGGGAGAGAGCUGAUGGAGUGAUGUCCCUUCCUGACCUGUCCAGGGGACCUGCUUGAUCUGUGUGAAUGGUCUCCCUUGAAUUCCCCUCCACUCCCCAGGCAACCCACUGCCCCUCAGGCAUUGUCUUGCACACUUAACCUCUUUCUUGUCACCAUGCUGGAGUGGUGGGAUUGGGAGGCUUCUUUCUGAGCGCCUCUGGAUCGACCUCAGGGCUCAGACUUGUAAGCUCGCUUUGGGCAGGGAAUGUGUCUACUAACUCUGUUACACUGUACUCUCCCAAGCACUUGGAUUUGCUCCCUUUCUUCACCCUUCCCUUAGCCCCACAUCCGAAAAUUAUUUGUUUAUAUAAACGUCUGUCUGCCCCUGACUGUAAGCUAGCUGUGGUCAGGGAACAUGUCUACCAACUCUGUUACAUUGCACUUUCCCAAGUGCUUAGUACAGUGCUUUGUACACAGUAAGCAUUCAAAAAUCACCAUUGAGUGGUUGAUUGAUUGAAGUGGCCCAGCAGAAGGUGACCCUGCUCAGGAAAGAUCAGUAGAGAGAAGAGUAUAUGUAUCCCAGCUCUGCCCGCACUUGCUCUUUCCUCCUAUCUCCCUUCUCGCAUUCCUCCUCUCCCACUCAUUAGCUCUCUCUCCCCACCACUUCUUCCACCUCCUUCCUCAUGCUCCCACCCACCAUAGGGACAGUGGUGCCAGGGACACAUUAAACCCUGGCUGUCGGCCGUGAUCCACCCGGCAGCCAGAGACGUCAUCAGGUGUCAGAAACGUAGGGAGACAGGUGCCCAGAGAAAGUUUGUCCUGGGCUUUUCUGGCCAGGUGCUAGACUUCCAGGGAGAUUGGAUGAGAUUCCAAGCUUACAAAGCCAUCCUUUUCCCUGGAAAACCUGGCUCAUGAAUGUGCUGUGUUGUGGGGUGGGAAUGGGUAUGUUUGGGUGUGCGCGUUGUAUUGGCGGGGAGUUAUAUAUGCAUAAACGUAGUGUUGCGGUGUUCAUAUGGGUGGAUGUGUAUGCUUUUGGGGAUGUUGGUGGGGUUGUGCGUAUGUGCUUAGUAUGGGUUGCGUGUGUCAGGCAGAGCAUAGAUGUGGUUGUCCUCACUGGUUGGCCCAGCAACAGCAGGGCCAUCCCCACCCCUCUCUGACCGUCUGUCCGAUAUCCACCCCAGCACUCAGUACAGUACUUGGCCCAUAAUCGGUGAACCAAUACCAAUGCCUCCAUGCUUAUUGUUAUUAUCUAGUCGGGCUUCUUCCCCCCGAUCCCUCUACCCAGAUCCAGGUUCCAGUGGAUCCUGAAUCCUCACCGGGAGUUGGGAUUCCCGCCCCCGCUCAGUCGCCUCCUCUGGGACAACUAGGAGCUGGUUGGGGGAAUCUUGGUGACCCAGUUGUCAACCCCACCAUCCUCCUGGUCUCCUUGCCUGCCAGUUUGCAUGGUCCUUGCCCUCCUUCCCCCGACAUUAGAGAAGAAGCGUGGCUCAGUGGAAAGAGCACGGGCUUUGGAGUCAGGGCUCAUGAGUUCGAAUCCCAGCUCUGCCUCUUGUCGGCUGUGUGACUGUGGGCAAGUCACUUAACUUCUCUGUGCCUCAGUUCCCUCAUCUGUAAAAUGGGGAUUAAGACUGUAAGCCCCACGUGGGACCACCUGAUUCCCCUAUGUCUACCCCAGCGCUUAGAACAGUGCUCUGCACCCAGGAAGCGCUCAACCAAUACCAACAUUAUUACAUCCAGUCUGUAACCACUGCACCCAGUCAGAACAUCUCAGAAUCUGCCCUGGUCUAGGCACAUCAACCUCCUCACUGACCUCCCUGCCUCUAGCCUCUCCCCUUUCCAGUCCAUGCUUCACUCUGCUGCCCAUACCAUUUCCCUAAAAUAUUUAUUCAUUCAUUCAAUCGUAUUUACUGUAGAAGCAGCGUGGCUUAGUGGAAAGCACGCGGGCUUGGGAGUCGGAGGUCGUGGGUUCUAAUCCCGCCUCCGCCACAGAUCAGCUGUGUGACUUUGGGCAAGUCAUUUAACUUAUCUGUGCCUCAGUUACUUCAUCUGUAAAAUGAGGAUUAAGACUGUGAACCCUACCUGGGACAACCUGGUUACCUUGUAUCUAUACCAGCGCUUAGAACAGUGCUUGGCACAUAAUAAGCGCUUAAUAAAUACCAUCAUUUAUUUUUAUUUAUUUACUGUGUGCAGAGCGCUGUACUAAAUGCUUGGGAGAGUACAAUACAACAAUAUACAGUCACGUUCCCUGCCCUUAUCCUUCUGUAUCCAUCUCCCCACUCCUCAAACACCUCCAGCGGCUGCCCAUCCAUGUCCACAUCAAACAGGAACUCCUCACCCAUCAGCUUUGAGGCCCUAAAUCAGUUCUUCCCUUCCUACCUAAACUCACUCGUCUCAUACCACACCCCAGCUGGUACAUUCUGCUCCUCCAGGACCAACCUACUCACUGGACCUAGUUCUCACUUCUCUCACCAUGAACCCCCUUGCUCACACCCUCCUUUCUGCCUGGAACUCCCUCCCCCUUCAACUCUGGUAGGACAGCUCUUCUGAGAUCACACUUCCUCCAGGAGGCCUUGACUAAUGUCCCCCCAGGUUCUAGCCUCCUCCUCCCCACUACCUUCUCAGGGUUUUUGCACUCACAGUCACCUGUACCACUGGCAGGCUCUGAUAUUUAAGCAUUGCUUCCUAU
rnacentral:lncRNA from 1 species